CUUCCAAAUAACUGGGACCACAGGCAUGAGCCACCAUGCCCAGAGCAGUCUCUGUGGAAACUGCUGAGCCACAUGGUCAAGCACCACAGCCAGCCAAGACGCUGCAAACCAAGCUGGAGGUUUCGGGGGUUUCCAGUCUUUUUUUUUUUUUUUUUUAAGUAUCAAACACCAUAAAAUUCCCAUCACUGUUCUGGAGACACAGACGUAAAUGGAAAAUGGAUUCCUGUUAGUCUGGUGCAUCUGAAAGUUCUGUGAACACUAGCCUGCCACAUUCAGUGGAUCUGGAGGCAACUAUCGCCCUCCUAUAAAUACCAAGGGUGCCACUGGCCUGCUCCUUACACCAGACAGUAAACAGUCACCAAGAGCCUGAUUGAAGCUUUGGGACAAAACAAUGAAACCAAAAGAUGGAUUUGCUGAGUAGCGGAGACCGUAAACUGCUACUCUCAGUUUAUUUAUUUAUUUAUUUUUAAUUUUUUUUUUUUUUUGAGAUGGAGUCUCACUCUGCC